rnacentral:rRNA from 1 species
UACGUAGGGUGCGAGCGUUGUCCGGAAUUAUUGGGCGUAAAGGGCUCGUAGGCGGUUUGUCGCGUCGGGAGUGAAAACCAUGAGCUUAACUCAUGGCUUGCUUUCGAUACGGGCAGACUAGAGGUAUGCAGGGGAGAACGGAAUUCCUGGUGUAGCGGUGAAAUGCGCAGAUAUCAGGAGGAACACCGGUGGCGAAGGCGGGUCUCUGGGCCGAUACUGACGCUGAGGAGCGAAAGCGUGGGGAGCGAACAGG